UGGCUCUCGUAUCGAUGAAGAACGCAGCGAAAUGCGAUAAGUAAUGUGAAUUGCAGAAUUCAGUGAAUCAUCGAAUCUUUGAACGCACCUUGCACCCUUUGGUAUUCCGAAGGGUAUGCCUGUUUGAGUGUCAUUAAAUUCUCAAAAUUAACAAAUUUUUGUUUAUUUUGGACUUGAGGGUUUUGUUGGCUCUAAUAUACUUGAGUUGGCUCCCUUUAAAUGUAUAAGUGGCUUAUUGAUCCCCCAUUAUUUGGUGUGAUAGCUAUAUCUACAUCAUAUACAAUGGCAAGAUCAUAUAAUAUAGCUGCUAUCUAACUGUCGAAAGACAAUUUUUGAACCAUUUGACCUCAAAUCAGGUAGGACUACCCGCUGA
rnacentral:misc_RNA from 1 species